rnacentral:rRNA from 1 species
AUAAUAAUUUGUUUUUUAAAUAAAAACUAGUAUGAAUGGCUUCACAUUUUCUAGCUGUCUCUCUUUAUUAUCUUUUAAAUUUCUACUUCCGUGAAGAAGCGGAAAUAAUAAUAUAAGACGAGAAGACCCUGUCGAGCUUUAGCCAAUUUAUAAUAAAUAUUAUUAAAAAGGCUUUGGUUGGGGCAACCAUGGAGAAAAUUUAUCCUCCAGAAAUAAAAGAUGAAUUAUUAUUCACUUAAUUUAAAUUUGAACCAAUUUACUUUGGUAAUCAGAAAUAGUUACCGCAGGGAUAACAGCGUAAUCUUCUUUAAGAGCCCAUAUUGACA